UACGUAGGGUGCAAGCGUUGUUCGGAAUUACUGGGCGUAAAGCGCGCGCAGGCGGGCUUAUAAGUCGGUUGUGAAAUCCCAGGGCUCAACCUUGGAAUUGCAGUCGAAACUGUAAGUCUUGAGUGCCUAAGAGGAUGGCGGAAUUCCCGGUGUAGUAGUGAAAUGCGCAGAUAUCAGGAGGAACACCGAUGGCGAAGGCAGGUCUCUGGGCACUUACUGACGCUGAGGAGCGAAAGCGUGGGGAGCGAACAGG
rnacentral:rRNA from 1 species